UGGGGAAUAUUGCACAAUGGGCGAAAGCCUGAUGCAGCGACGCCGCGUGAGGGAUGACGGCCUUCGGGUUUUAAACCUCUUUCAGUAGGGACGAAGCGCAAGUGACGGUACCUGCAGAAGAAGCACCGGCUAACUACGUGCCAGCAGCCGCGGUAAUACGUAGGGUGCGAGCGUUGUCCGGAAUUACUGGUCGUAAAGAGCUCGUAGGCGGUUUGUCACGUCGUCUGUGAAAUCCUAGGGCUUAACCCUGGACGUGCAGGCGAUACGGGCUGACUUGAGUACUACAGGGGAGACUGGAAUUUCUGGUGUAACGGUGGAAUGCACAGAUAUCAGGAAGAACACCGAUGGCGAAGGCAGGUCUCUGGGUAGUAACUGACGCUGAGGAGCGAAAGCAUGGGUGGCCAACAGG
rnacentral:rRNA from 1 species